rnacentral:rRNA from 1 species
UGGGGAAUUUUGGACAAUGGGCGCAAGCCUGAUCCAGCCAUGCCGCGUGUCUGAAGAAGGCCUUCGGGUUGUAAAGGACUUUUGUCAGGGAAGAAAAGGGCGGGGUUAAUACCCCUGUCUGAUGACGGUACCUGAAGAAUAAGCACCGGCUAACUACGUGCCAGCAGCCGCGGUAAUACGUAGGGUGCGAGCGUUAAUCGGAAUUACUGGGCGUAAAGCGAGCGCAGACGGUUACUUAAGCAGGAUGUGAAAUCCCCGGGCUCAACCUGGGAACUGCGUUCUGAACUGGGUGACUAGAGUGUGUCAGAGGGAGGUAGAAUUCCACGUGUAGCAGUGAAAUGCGUAGAGAUGUGGAGGAAUACCGAUGGCGAAGGCAGCCUCCUGGGAUAACACUGACGUUCAUGCCCGAAAGCGUGGGUAGCAAACA